UUUUCUGUAUAUACUUGAAAAAUAAUUUUAUCUAAUAAAUAUGUAUGAUGAUCAUAAUAAUUAUUUAGUCUUAUUACAUGCACCCUUCUUCCAAGGAAGUGCAAAGCUUUUAAACAAGCCACUUUUAAAAACUGUCACAUCCUAUUGCAUGAAGCAACAACCAGAGAAGCCCUGACUUCGCAUUUUAGUAUAUUAAUAGGCUCAAUUCCUAGCUUAACCUAGGUUGGCCCCUUGGAAGAUCUUAGGAGUGUUUUAUUAGGAAACAAAGUGAACAUAUAAAGGUUUGGUAAUAUCUGCACCCUGAUAUUAUUCUCAGUAUGCAUCCACAGCCUACAAAGCUAAAGCUCCUUCAGAGCCAAUAAUGCUGCAUGCUGGAAAGCAGAUCAGCAAAUAGCUCAAAUUUAUUCCCAAUCCAUAAUGCUGACCACAUAACAACAGGAAAACAGCCAUGAUAAUGCUAUCAUGGCGUGGUGAGUUGUUGUAACAAUAGCUCAAUGGCUUGAUAGCCUCUGCAGUAAAAUAUCUAGGCAUCUGAACUUUAAAAAAAAAUUGUAGCAAUUUUUAGUGAGAGCAGCAAAAACAUAUUUGUAACCGUAAGACACUGCUUCAUUUUCUUGCCUGUUAACCUUCCUGCUGGAGCAAUUGCUCCCCUGGCUGCAUUGUUUGAUGAUGAAGUGAUCAAUUUCUGGACACCCAGCAAGUUGCUGUAUAUUUGAAACUCUCCAGGGCUGGAGUAGGCAAUUAUUUUCACUUCCAGCUCAGCUUGGUAUGUUUAACUGAACACAAAUAACUUUCUAUGGAAAGUGAGUGCUUUUUGCCCAUCUGUUGGGCACACACAUUUCAGAGAUAAUGGUAAUAGCUCCACAUGUUUUCAGGAACUGUAUUUCAGGACUGAUUAAUUUUAUUCUUGCUCUCACAGCUUUUGGUUCCGAAGGGCCGUAGUCUUCAUGUACCUCAGCACUUCCUGAAGACUUCCUUGGUACUGUUCAAAGUAAGAUAUAACGAGUUGCUCAGUUGCAUACAUUCUUUACACCUUCAUUGCUUGUUCUCUCAGACAUGCUAUCAUACCCAAGGCACAUGUUGAGAUGGAAAGACACUGCAUCCGAAGUCAAAGGACCAAGGUUUUUGAUUCUCAAUACCCCCCUUGCAUGAUGGACAACGGACGUUUCACUCUGCACUUUGCUUCUUGAUUUCUUCAUUGAGGAACAGUAAAGUUGAAUCUGUUCCCGGCUGUCAGACUGCCAAGGGCUGUAGAAGCAUGGCACCAGCAUCUGCUCGACUUCUUAUGAGGCCUCAGGAAGCUUAUAAUCAUGGCAGAAAGUGAAGGGGAAGCAGGUGAUAAAAAUGAAACACAGAAAAAUAAAGAAACUUGUCCAAGCUUGUACAGUUGGUAAGAAACAGCUUUGAACCCAGGGAUUUGAACCCAGGCAAUUUGCUCCAUAAUCUGUGCUGCACUACCUGCCCUUGGGUUGUUAUAUAGGUUAGCUGUACUAUCAAUAAAAUGUGUGUAAUAAGAUCAA